rnacentral:lncRNA from 1 species
UUCUAGUCUGACAAAACUUCUAGUUUUAAUAAAUUUUCUUCUAUUUUACUAAUUGUCUCUAACAUAAGUGUCAAAGGAUUUUAUAGAUGGUAUUCGAGAUUUUAAGUUCAAAGCAUAGUCGCUUCACAUUUGUAGCUAGAUUUUUAAAUGAAACGGGUUGCAUUUUGAUUUGUACACUAAUUUACUGAUUUAUCGAAAAGUGUUUGUGAUGAGAUUUAAUUUAGCGGAUAUUAUAUACUAAAAAUAUUGUUCUAUAACAAAAUUAAAUUUUUUUUUUCAAAUUGGUUGGUUAUUUCAUACACACUACCAUUUCUUUCAAUUCUCAGUAUUGAAAAUAUGUAUAUAUACUUUUGAUGUUCUAACAAGUAUGAGGCUUCGUUUGGGAUUGUGAAAAAAUUAUGUUACAUGUAGUAAAAAAAAACGAUAAGAAAAUACUUUGUUUGUUUUCAUACAUAAUGUUGUGCACAUCGCGAUGAGUCGGUUAGCGGUUCUACCGGAUAAAGCAGAAGUGCAUCACUAUAUAUUUUUACCUAAAUUCUAUUUUAUUUAAUAGCGUCAGAUAAAUCUCAAUAGUAAACUGAGCCUAAAAAAAGUAUACUGGGUACCUAAAGAAGUAAU